rnacentral:rRNA from 1 species
AUGUCUGGGCGCGGCAAGGGAGGCAAGGGGCUUGGCAAGGGCGGCGCCAAGCGCCACCGGAAGGUGCUGCGCGACAACAUCCAGGGCAUCACCAAGCCGGCCAUCCGCCGUCUGGCUCGCCGUGGAGGCGUGAAGCGCAUCUCGGGGCUCAUCUACGAGGAGACCCGCGGCGUGCUCAAGAUCUUCCUCGAGAACGUCAUCCGCGACGCCGUCACCUACACCGAGCACGCCCGCCGCAAGACCGUCACCGCCAUGGACGUCGUCUACGCCCUCAAGCGCCAGGGACGCACCCUCUACGGCUUCGGCGGCUAG